rnacentral:rRNA from 1 species
AAACGUAGGGGGCGAGCGUUGUCCGGAAUUACUGGGCGUAAAGGGCGUGUAGGCGGCAAUGCAAGUCAGUAGUGAAACCCGUCGGCUCAACCGACGGCUGGCGAUUGAAACUGCAUAGCUUGAGUACAGGAGAGGGAAGUGGAAUUCCCAGUGUAGCGGUGAAAUGCGUAGAUAUUGGGAGGAACACCAGUGGCGAAAGCGGCUUCCUGGCCUGUAACUGACGCUGAGGCGCGAAAGCGUGGGUAGCAAACAGGAUUAGAUACCCUGGUAGUCCACGCCGUAAACGAUGGGUGCUAGGUGUUGGGGGUAUCGACCCCUCCAGUGCCGCAGUUAACGCAAUAAGCACCCCGCCUGGGGAGUACGGUCGCAAGGCUGAA